AUUGAACGCUGGCGGCAGGCCUAACACAUGCAAGUCGAGCGAGCGGCGGACGGGUGAGUAAUGUCUGGGAAACUGCCUGAUGGAGGGGGAUAACUACUGGAAACGGUAGCUAAUACCGCAUACCAUCAGAUGUGCCCAGAUGGGAUUAGCUAGUAGGUGGGGUAACGGCUCACCUAGGCGACGAUCCCUAGCUGGGCUGAGCGGAUGACCAGCCAAAAGGGAAGUGAGGAACGGUCCAGGAUCCUACGGGAGGCAGCAGUGGGGAAUAUUUCAAAAUGGGCGCAAGCCUGGUGCAGCCAUGCCGCGUGUGUGAAGAAGGCCUUCGGGUUGUAAAGCUAUUUCAGCGGGGAGGCGUUACCCGGCGGAGAAGCACCGGCUAACUCCGUGCCAGCAGCCGCGGUAAUUC
rnacentral:rRNA from 1 species